ACGUACGGCCAUAGAUACUGGAAAGCACGGGAUCCCGUCCGCUCUCCCCUAGUUAAACCCGUAAUCGGCGGAUUAGUAGUUGGGUCGGUGACGACCAGCGAAUACCCUCUGCUGUACGUU
rfam:Ophiostoma piceae TAMH 11346 chromosome Tnknown scf10, whole genome shotgun sequence.